GAGGGUGUAGCUCAGUGGUAGAGCACCUGCUAAGCACGCACCAGGCUGUGGGUUCAAUCCCCAGCAUUCCCC
rnacentral:tRNA from 1 species